CCAGCAUAUUGUAGACUAUCAUAAACACAUUUGUUUAUAACAAAAAGUAAUAAAAACAUAUGUAGAUUUUUUUAAAUUGGACGUAUUGCUAUUUUUAUCCUAGUCGAAAUUAUGAAACGAAACGUUUUGACAGUCCGUUUGCCAAUAAGCAGUGAUCAGUUUCUUUUGUUUGUUUUUCUAUUGUUUACCUACUAUAUUAGAUGAUGACUUACCUCCAAAACGCUUUAAAACUUUCGUUUAUAAUUCUAAGUGUGUUUAUAAUUAAAGAGCUACAGUGAAAUAAAAUGAAUUCUUCAAGAAAGGCAGCACCCAUGACAAAAGAUGAGACGAUGAUUCUAGCAGAACUUGUGGCGGCGAAAAAACAUUUCAAUAAUAAGGCAACAAAUGCCACAAACAAUAAAUUGAAGGAGCAGGCUUGGCAAACCCUUGUAAAUGAUUUUAAUUCGUCGAUUCGUCGUUUCCCACGAACUCCAUCGCAGCUUCGACUAAAAUGGGAAAACUUAAAGAACGCUACGGCAACAUAAGAAACAACCUUAGUAAGGCUGGAGGUGGUAAGGAUUGCAGAUGAAAUUUUGGAUAAAGCAUGCACAUUGUUGUAGGUCACAUAUAAUAUUUUUAACACUUUUACAGCCAAGCGGAAACAAGAUGGAAGAAAAGAAAUGCAAGGCUAGCAUAGGGACAAUGCAUUAGCAGAAUAUCUAAUAGCAAAAAAGAGACUUGACUUGGAAAAUAAAGAAAAGGAGAUUGUUGUAGCAAAAGUUAAGUUAGAUUUAGAUAAUUUAAAAAAUUAAAAAUUACUUAAAAGGAAUAUUAAAUUUCAUAAAUUAAGUAGGCAAUAAUAAUUUUAUGUUAGAUAGUUUUUUAAGUAUAUGUACAAAUUCUAAAUUAAAUAUCUUGCAUGUACUAACUACCAUGUAAUUAUCAUUUUGGAAAAUAAAAAAUAGUCAAAUUAUCUUUGGAGUUUAUUUUAUAAAUUAUCUUUGGAAGCAAUUAUUUAUAAGUACAUAGUUGUAUUUCAGAUGUAAGUUUUGAAAAAUUGUUACGAACAAUUAUAUUAUUUUCCUGUAAUGUAUCUGCGACUGAAAUUUCUGAUUCUAAUUCUUCUAAAUUCAUACUUCUGACGAUAUUAUGCAGCAUGGCAGCUAUAAUAACAGCUUGCAUAUUUUCUAGUUUUAAUCUACUUUUCAAUGAUAUACAGGGAGUCUUCUUUUACA
rnacentral:lncRNA from 1 species